GGGAAACAUAUCCACCCACAUCUCAACACGGCCCUUUGGACACAAAGAGAGAACAAUAUUGUCGUCGGUUCCCACCAAGUCCCAGUCGUACACGGACACCGUCAGCAUGGACUCCAUGGGGAAAGUGGCCUCGAUGUCGAAUGAUCUGAACACCGAGGAAGAGAGGACAGAAGUGAAUUCAAAUACAAAGAGACCAGAUUCUGGUCUCAAAUGCUGGACCAUAUAAAACAGCUUGAUGACAAUGUACGGAUCGGCCUUCCCGUUGAUAUCGGCGGGAUGAAGAUCUGUAGCCUGGCAACCGUAUAAACAAAACAGAAGAUGAAGAAUAUUGAUCUGAUUCUGUUUAUUUUACGACGAUGUGUGACAUGACGUGGCGUGUAGAGACGGCUCCUCACCCUGACGACGUAGACGCGGACGAGGACGUUGAUCGGAUCGUUAUGUGGGAUGCUUUGGAACAUGCCCAUAUUGGGAUCAAACCCCGCCUCUCUCGUGAUCUCCUCAGACAAAGGAAGCUUGUACAUACACAGGGAUCCCUGCGUCACAGAGAGACAGCAGGUUACACCGUAAACGUCUCUCAGGUUGAACGUAUGAAGCCAGUCCUCAAAGGUGCCAUACUCACUCUCCAGCUCCUUGUUGUAAACCUGGACAGGACGUCAAACACACCAGGUGUGAAUCUGUGUGGUUUGUAUCUGCCCAAGCAGGAAUCGUACUCACCACCA